rnacentral:lncRNA from 1 species
CCACAUUAGUACUGCCCGCAUUUGAAAGUUUUCUUUACACGAAACAUCGUAUGUUUCAGCACCUUGAGCCCAUAGUUGUUGCAACUCAUAUAUUAGUGGCUGAAGAAACACAUCAAGUGAUCUCUUAGGAUGCUCUGGUCCGGGAACGAGAAUCGAGAAAAACAAAAACUCUCGUCGCAAGCACAAGUUUGGGGGUAGGUUGUAUGGUGUAAGAAUGACUAGCCAUAGAGAAUACUGUCUUCC